UGAGGAAUAUUGGUCAAUGGACGCAAGUCUGAACCAGCCAUGCCGCGUGCAGGAAGAAGGUGCUAUGCAUUGUAAACUGCUUUUAUACGGGGGUAAUUACAGAUACGUGUAUCUGGUUGAAAGUACCGUAUGAAUAAGGAUCGGCUAACUCCGUGCCAGCAGCCGCGGUAAUACGGAGGAUCCGAGCGUUAUCCGGAUUUAUUGGGUUUAAAGGGUGCGUAGGCGGUCAGGUAAGUUAGAGGUGAAAGCUCGAUGCUCAACAUCGAAACUGCCUCUGAUACUGUCUGACUAGAGUGUAGUUGCGGAAGGCGGAAUGUGUGGUGUAGCGGUGAAAUGCUUAGAUAUCACACAGAACACCGAUUGCGAAGGUAGCUUUCCAAGCUAUUACUGACGCUGAGGCACGAAAGCGUGGGGGAGCGAACAGGAUUGAUACC
rnacentral:rRNA from 1 species